UACGUAGGUGGCGAGCGUUGUCCGGAUUUACUGGGCGUAAAGGGCGUGCAGGCGGUUUGUUAAGUGCAGGGUGAAAGCUCCCGGCUCAACUGGGAGAGGUCCUUGCAUACUGGCGAACUCGAGGGAGGCAGAGGAAAGUGGAAUUCCCGGUGUAGCGGUGAUAUGCGUAGAUAUCGGGAGGAACACCUGUGGCGAAGGCGGCUUUCUGGGCCUUACCUGACGCUGAGACGCGAAAGCGUGGGGAGCGAACCGG
rnacentral:rRNA from 1 species